UACGUAGGGGGCUAGCGUUGUCCGGAUUUAUUGGGCGUAAAGAGCGUGUAGGCGGCCAGGUAGGUCGGUUGUGAAAACUCGAGGCUCAACCUCGAGACGUCGGCGGAAACCAUCUGGCUAGAGUCCGGAAGAGGAGAGUGGAAUUCCCGGUGUAGAGGUGAAAUUCGUAGAUAUCGGGAGGAACACCAGUGGCGAAGGCGGCGACCUGGGCCAAUACUGACGCUGAGGUGCGAAAGCGUGGGGAGCGAACAGGA
rnacentral:rRNA from 1 species